GNGAUACUGGGAAACCGGAGCUAAUACCGGAUAAUAUUUCGAACCGCAUGGUUCGAUAGUGAAAGGUGGUUUUGCUAUCACUUAUAGAUGGACCCGCGCCGUAUUAGCUAGUUGGUAAGGUAACGGCUUACCAAGGCGACGAUACGUAGCCGACCUGAGAGGGUGAUCGGCCACACUGGAACUGAGACACGGUCCAGACUCCUACGGGAGGCAGCAGGU
rnacentral:rRNA from 1 species